CUACGGGAGGCAGCAGUGGGGAAUCUUAGACAAUGGGCGCAAGCCUGAUCUAGCCAUGCCGCGUGAGCGAUGAAGGCCUUAGGGCUGUAAAGCUCUUUCAGCGAGGAAGAUAAUGACUGUACUCGCAGAAGAAGCCCCGGCUAACUCCGUGCCAGCAGCCGCGGUAAUACGGAGGGGGCUAGCGUUGUUCGGAAUUACUGGGCGUAAAGCGCACGUAGGCGGAUCAGAAAGUCAGAGGUGAAAUCCCAGGGCUCAACCUUGGAACUGCCUUUGAAACUCCUGAUCUUGAGUUCGAGAGAGGUGAGUGGAAUUCCGAGUGUAGAGGUGAAAUUCGUAGAUAUUCGGAGGAACACCAGUGGCGAAGGCGGCUCACUGGCUCGAUACUGACGCUGAGGUGCGAAAGCGUGGGGAGCAAACAGGAUUAGAUACCCCAGUAGUC
rnacentral:rRNA from 1 species